UACGAAGGGGGCUAGCGUUGCUCGGAAUCACUGGGCGUAAAGCGCACGUAGGCGGAUCUUUAAGUCAGGGGUGAAAUCCUGGAGCUCAACUCCAGAACUGCCUUUGAUACUGGAGAUCUCGAGUCCGGAAGAGGUGAGUGGAACUCCGAGUGUAGAGGUGAAAUUCGUAGAUAUUCGGAAGAACACCAGUGGCGAAGGCGGCUCACUGGUCCGGUACUGACGCUGAGGUAGCGAAAGCGUGGGGAGCAAACAGG
rnacentral:rRNA from 1 species